AAGUCGUAACAAGGUCUCCGUUGGUGAACCAGCGGAAGGAUCAUUAUCAUCCUUGGAUUGGCCGCAUUCAUUCAUUUGUUUGCGGCUAAAUCUAUCUACCAACCGUGAACUGUUUCUUUACCUCCGAUUCAUGAGAGAUCCCGCAUCAGUCGUUGGCCCGAGAGGAGAAAACGAAUGACGUUUCGGGAAGCAGGGCUCGCUGCCCUGGUAUUGUGAAUUGGUUGUAUCUUUUUGACCUCUCAACACAUUAACCCUUUGAACAAAACCCUUUCAAUCUUUGUAUUGAACUGAAACAAUUGUGUUUUCUUCUUGGAUUUUUUUCCGGAAAAAACACGACAAGAUAUACGAAAUAUAAGAACAACUCUUAGCAACGGAUAUCUUGGCUCUC
rnacentral:misc_RNA from 1 species